UGUUAGCCCCGAUUGCAGCGGCAUCCUUUUUUGGUUGCGUAGCGAAGUCGAAGCCACCAAAAAAGAUAUAGCGGAAAGCGGGACGGGUA
rnacentral:sRNA from 1 species